rnacentral:rRNA from 1 species
AUUGAACGCUGGCGGCAGGCCUAACACAUGCAAGUCGAACGAGUGGCGGACGGGUGAGUCAUGUCUGGGAAACUGCCCGAUGGAGGGGGAUAACUACUGGACACGGUAGCUACUACCGCGUACCAUCGGAUGUUCCCAGCUGGGAUUAGCUAGUAGGUGGGGUAAUGGCUCACCUAGGCGACGAUCCCUACCUGGUCUGAGAGGAUGACCAGCCCCACUGGAACUGAGCCACGGUCCAGACGCUGACGAGAGGCAGCAGUGGGGAAUAUUGACGAAUGGGCGCAAGCCUGAUGCAGCCAUGCCGCGUGUAUGAAGAAGGCCUGCGGGUUGUAAAGUACUUUCAGCGGGGAGGCGUUACCCGCAGAAGAAGCACCGGCUAACUCCGUGCCAGCAGCCGCGGUAAUAC